ensembl:lncRNA
GUGUGUGUGUGUGUGUGUGUGUGUGUGUGUGUGUAGAACCUGUGUGUGUGUGUGAGUGUGUAAGUGUGAGUGUGUGUGAGUGAGUGCACAAAAGGUGAACAUGCAAGACAAAUGAUUUAACUGACUUUGAACGAGGAACGAUGGUGGAUUCUGGCUGCACUGCCAUGAAUUAUGACAAGAAUGGCAAUGCGCUGGGAGUGUGCUAAUGCGUGGCAAUGUCACCGGGAUGUCAAGACAAACUGCCAGCUGGCGGUCCUUUCGGGGUCACAGACAGUAUGUGCCACCUACAGAAGUUCUCCGAUGACUCCUCCAUCGUCAGCUGCAUCACGGACGACAACGAGGCGGAGUACAGAGCUCUGGUGGAGAGCUUUUCAGGGUGGUGUGACACCAAUCACCUCCAGCUCAACAUCGGAAAGACCAAGGAGCUGGUGGUGGACUAAUAGCGGAGCAAGAAGAAGAGGCCCCCAACUCCUAACUGGAUAAUUUGGAGGCGGUUGCGGAGGAGAGAACGAGGA